AGCUCCAAUAGCGUACAUUAACCUUGUUGCGGUUAAAAAGCUCGUAGUUGGAUUUCGGCUGAGGACGAUCGGUCCGCCCUCUGGGUGAGUAUAUGGCUCGGCCUUGGCAUCUUUCUGGAGAACGUAGCUGCACUUGACUUUGUGGCGCGGUAUCCACGACUUUUACUUUGAGGAAGUUACAGUGUUCCAAGCAGGCGCACGCCUUGAAUACAUCAGCGUGGAAUAGUAAGAUCGGACCUCGGUUCUAGUUUGUUGGUUUCUAGAGCUGAGGUAAUGAUUAAUAGGGGUAGUUGGGGGCAUUCGUAUUUUAUUGUCAGAGGUGAAAUUCUUGGAUUUGUUACAGACGGACUACUGCGACAGCACUUGCCAAGGGUGUUUUCA
rnacentral:rRNA from 1 species